GCCCAGAUGGUGGAAUUGGUAGACACGCUAGCUUUAGGAGCUAGUGCCAGCAAUGGCUUGGGAGUUCGACUCUCCCUCUGGGCACCA
rnacentral:tRNA from 1 species